UCGGUGGGGUUCCGAACCCCUUCCAAUUCCUAAAGAGGGGUUCGAUUGCAGCGCCCCUGUAGGAAAACAAUAAACACUACUGCAUUGAAUUGAAAAUGGCGAUUUUGUCCAGGUUGUGUGCAUUUCGUUUUCGAUUAUUACCGAGAGUGUUUCCCGACAACACACCGUAGUGUCUACGUAAAGUGAAAAUUUGUGAAAAAUCGUGCAACAUAUGCAAAAAUGAGCGAGCUACAUCCAAAUUUGGUGGAAAAUGAUUUAGAAGCAAAAAGUGGUAAGCUUUUUCAAGAUGACGUCGAUCCUCCGAAUGAACAGAGCACUGCGUGCGCAUCCGAUUCGACGACGAAAACAAUCGAAGGUGAACUUCCGGCGAAAAAACGGAAAACGCGACGCGGGAAAACCAAACGAAGACAUCCAUAUUUAAAAAAUCCAAGAAAAUCUAACAAAUUAGUUAAACCCGAGGCUCCGCAUAACAGCAAUCAGUUUUUACUCGAAGAUCAUGCUAUAGUGGACGAUUUGGUUAAAAAUUUGAUGUCUCCAAAUACGUUAAGAACAAGGGAUUCUAGUUUUAGUGUUGAUUCAGAGGGAGAUUUUUAUUCCUCACCAGAUGAUGAACAGCAGUUUUUAAUUAAAGAUUUUGAUGACCAGUACGAAAGUUUACAAGCCGAAAGACUUCAAGGCAUGUCAAAAUCUGACCUAAUAGCCGAGUAUCUUGCACUUGAAAACAAGCUGGAACAAUUAACAAAAAGUCAGCAGAAAGAAGAAGACGAUUCAGAAGAUUCCAAACCUGAUCUUAAGCAAGAAAUAGAAAGACUCACCAUGGAGAACGAACGUUUAAGGCGGGAGAAUGAUCUCCUACGAAAUAAAGUGAACAUAGAGUCUGAUUCGGAGGACUCAGAAACUGAUUCUAGUGAUUCUUGUAGCAGUUCUUCGACAUCCAGCAGCAACAGCUCCAGGAGUUCCAGCAGGUCUCGAAGCCCCAUCACCAAUAUUGACUAUAAGAAAACAAACGGCUUUACAAAGGAAGAGCCAGUGCCGUAGGUUACAAAACAAUUCCCAGUGUUAAUUUUGCUCAUAUUAAGACUUUAUCUCUACGUUCAGCUCUUCCACAUAUGUUUUUAUUAAAUGUUUUAUCUAAAAUAUUAAUAUAAAUGAUUGUUUUCUAAAAAAAAUGAAUGUCCAUAAUUUCAAAAAUCAAUUUUUAUUAUUCACUGCCAAAUUUUAAAACUAAAAUCGUUAUACCUUGAAAAUGGGCCUAGUAAAUAAUGUGAAAAUCAGGAUAUGAAAAGUAAAACAUACAUUUACAUCACAAGUUCAACAUAGUUUUCACCCCUCUCUACGAUUGUGACUUGGUCCAUUACCUGAUUAAAAGAAACCUAUUGAAAUUUUUUAAUUACCACAGUUAUGAAGGCGAAGAUCUGAACAUAUAAGAUUUAACACAGCGUUAUAUGCCAUGCUUUCAAUGAAACGCAUAGGUACAUAUUUUAUAUUUCGGCAACAAUGCUACUUUAUUUCGUUAGUAGAGGCUGGGACAAGGUCAUACUGAGUUCACCCAUUGAGACGAAACGGUUUUCAUUAGACUCAAUUUUGCAGUUCAGUUCAGAACAAUAAAAAUGGUAUUAUCUGUAAUAUUAAAAAAAAUCAUUUAUCAUCAAAAAAUAUUCUGGUUGCUUUGCGUUUUAUUUUGAAAGUUAAUCUGGUGCUAAUUAUACAAAAUCAUUCAAACCUAAAAAGUAGUGUACCUAAAGAUUUUUUAGAACGAAAGGUGCAAUUUAUGACACUGUUGAAAUGAAUGAACCACAUUCCAGUAGUCAAAUAGUUGGGAAAGCGUUACUUGAAGUCCCCUCUCCUUGAUUUGCUACCUGAAUGACCUUAGUGGAUUCAGAUAUUUCUACACAAUAGGGAACUUGCACAUUUUUUUUAGUACAUAAUAAUGUUCAGUUUUGUUUAAAAAUGAGAUUUCCAAAAUUUCACGCUUUAAAAACUCAUAAUAACUUAGAAAUACAAAUUUAAAGUCUUCUGCGAUAUUGAAAUGGUUCAAACGACCCGUGACGUCACAUAGUUUAACUAUAUGGUUAUAUUUAGGUAUAUUCUUCUUCCCCUUCUUUAGUUUAUUGGCCUCCACCUACUUGGGUAUUUGGCCAGCUCAUUGUUGUGGAAUAAGGGAAAAAUAUUUAUAUUAUUUAUAAUCGUAUGUCAUUGCAUGUCAUUUAUCGUAUGUCAUUGUAAUAAUAUAUACCAGUUUGUUGAGAUCGAAGUUUGAUACAGUUUGUGAAGGAAAGGAAAGAAGGUUUACUAUGGAAAAUAAAACCAUUUUGUAAAAUUACAAGUUUUCUAUGAAUAGUUCAAACGAUCAAAACACUUGUGACGUCACAUAACUAACUCUAUUUUCUACUGACGUUUAUAAUGUCUAGUUUAAAAUUAUAUACAAUUUUGUUUACUUUGUUGGUGCAAAAUGUAAACAUAUAAUCAUAUGACGUCACGACGCGUUUUUUGCUAGCUGCUUUAAUUUUAAUUCAGAAUCGUCUUUAGGGGCCAAACGGAACACAAAAACAACUUUUUUAUCUUUGAUACAUGUUUUAAAUUAUGUUUUAUUGUGAUUUAUAACACUUUUUUCGAAUUUAAAAUUUUAUGCAAGUUCCCUAUUCGCGAUGAAAAACGAAGUAUCUGACCUCUGGUGGAAUAAAUUUAAACUACUAUAAGUGGUAUAAACAAACCAAAAAAUUGUUGAUUUGAAUGUAAUUUGGUCACUAUUUAGAAAUUUUUAGUAAUUUUCAGCAUUCUGACUACAUUAAAAUAUUUUAAAUCAAAUCGGUAUUGUUGUAUUCCUCGAUGAACGUUUGUUUAUACCAUUUAUAUCGGCCAUUUUCCUGCAUUCGACCUGCUCUCUACAUUCCGUUUCAAUCGCGAAUUGUACCUCAACUAAAUGACUUGGUGACCACCUUCUUCUGCCGAAUUAAGCCCAAUUGCUUUUUUCACGUCAAGUACAAAAUGUAUGGUGAUCUUCAAGAAAGAGCCCAAAAUUUAGAAGAACUUAGAGUAAAAAUUACUGAAGUUUUGAGAUCGAUACCGCCAGUUUUAGAAAUUCUCUUUACUUAUAUCGUAUUGAAAGAUCUUAUUUUAGCUGUAACAGCGAUCAAAAAUUGAUAAAGAAUGAAAUAUUUAGUAAAUUGAAUCAAUCUAAUAGCGUGAUACAUUAUCCUACUAGCGAUAAAUUAACAAUAAAGUUUUUCCUUGAUUUUUGAUAUUCAUAACAUGACAGCAGUGACCCUAUUUAUCAAAAUAACAAGUAGGAGUGGCUAUACUAUGCAGCGUUGCCAAAUGUUUAUCUUAUGUGUUCAUUUCUUGGACUUCCAACUUCGUACAUCAGGCCCAGGACUUACUGAGUGCUAUUUGACACACACAAUUAUUGUCGUGUGUUGGGAGUUAUUCUUCCACAUUGACAAUUUCUCGUGAAUGAGCAUAUUUUUUAUGUAGCUGUGUAUAAGUCAAAUAUGAUGUACUUUUUAAAUUCAGAAAAAGACUGUUAUUUUUAUUUGUACUUAAUUUUUAACUCGAAAAACUUAUCCAUUACUAUGUAUAUUAGAAGAUGCCACACUGGCGUGAUAUCAGUCACAUGCCACACUGAUGUGACAUCAGGCAGAUGCCACAUUGGUGUGACAUCAGGCAGAUGCCACAUUGGUGUGACAUCUUGUGGUUUUUCUCCUUCAGGCACAAUACUUUUGCUAUUUCUACACCAGCCUUCAUUUUAAACUAAAAAUAUUUCACGUUAGUUAUUUUUUUCCUAUUUUCUAUGCAUUUUGUUACAAUAUAUUGCAGAUAAAGUACAAAAUAAUUUAAAAUGAACUGUUUUGGAAGUAUCAAAGGCAAUAUGGUUUGUUUAAUGUUAUAAAUCACUGCUAAGUGACGUAAUAGAAUAGUUAUCUUUAGCUGUUAGUGAAUGUUUUAAAUUUUUGGUAUAAUUGAUAUUUAGAUGAGAUUUCCAAAAAUGAAAUAUUGUUACGUUUUUUAUAAUUUUUAAUUUUUGUACAUAUUGAAUAUAAAAAUACUUGAUUUCUCUAUAUUAAUUAAUAAAGUUUUAGUAUAAUGAAUAA
rnacentral:misc_RNA from 1 species